rnacentral:hammerhead_ribozyme from 1 species
AUCCAGCUGACGAGUCCCACAUAGAAAGAAACGCGUUUCCUAGAU